CCCAAAGGAGUUGAAAAUUCCCCCCUGGAGAGUGUCAGCAGGCACCCAGAAUACAUCUCCAGGGUCACUUAAUUCCCUGGAUCCUACCCAACUGCUAUUGAAGUUAAUUGAAAAAACUCCCAUUGCCUUUAAGAGGUUUUGGAUCCGACUCAAACGGCUCAGUGGCAGCAGAUUACAAGAAGGAGCCCCACUGUGCAAUUCCAGCCAUCUGCCUAUGGUGAGGAGGUUUGAAAAAGAAAUUAGUAAAGAACAUGUCCAGGGCAGGUGACUUAAACUGACCACAAGGAUAUUCCAGACCACAGAAUGUCAUGCCAAGUACUUAAACUGAGGGAGUUACCUGGAAGUGUGGCUGAUAUGGGUUUGGGAAGGGGGAUCUGUCAUCAGUCAAUGGAUGGUACAAAGCCUUCUGGAGGAUUCCUUCGAUUUAAUUUCUCUAGCUUAAAGCCGAAUGGAGAGAACAAAGGCAGAGCUCACAGUCAUUAAUUAAGAGGAUGAAGGAAGGCAGAGGGGAUGCUGACAGGAGGUGACAGGCUCAUUGAAAAGAAAAAGCUACAUCCUGAGAAUGGGGAGAUAUUCUAGACAAU